rnacentral:lncRNA from 1 species
CCACAACGACCUAUGCACAGAGGAUUGACGAACUACAAAUCCAUCUGAUAAAGUCUUCAGCAAAAUUUAAAGGUAAACUUGGUUCUGUUUCUUGCAGCAGAGAGCUACAUGAUUUCACAUACGUUUGAAGUACAAAAAAAGAUAAAAGGUUAUGCAUUAGAAACUAGUGUAACCAUAACUCUUGAGACACAAAUCCAUCUAAUUCAGGGCAUCAAGAUACACACACAAACCCCAGUUUUAGAAACAAAGCAAAACCGUAAAAAUGUGAAGAGAGGUCACAUGUCAUCUCAAGAUCCGGAAGUUCCAAAAAGACAGUAAAGAUAUGAGAAGACCCUUGGAGCGUAUUUGGAUUGCAAGAAGUCACUUUCUGUAUAUGAUUUUGCGUCCAAGCGUGGGAUAGCGAACCAAGUUGCUAACCUGAACAAACAACAUAAGAUAGCAGAUUCCAAUUCACAAUAUGAUGCUGCAGAUUCCAAAUCACAAUAUGAUGAGAUCACAGAUUCCGAUUAACACAAAUGAAUCAAAUCAUUGGUUAUCCCAAAUGUCAUACCAAUCUCUCCUUCUCGUUCUCUUGGAGCUUCCUAACCAGACUCUGAGUAAAGAGCUUUACGGAAUCGUAAUCAUUCUACAAAACAAAUCAAAGAUUUCUUUGAGUGAUUCUUGUAUAAUGGUAAAAGCAACAAAUGCACACAAAUACUCACCACAGAUAUCCUCUGAAGGAUCCAGCGACCUUCCGAAGGAGAAAAUCCAGUCUUCUGAGUAUCUUCAACCUACGAUACAGAGACAUAGAUGGAUAUGAUCCUAACUCCUAAAUCAGAAAAAAAAAGCAAAAUCGAUCGAUCAUUCAUGAUCCUAAACUCAAAACGAUCAUGAAAUGCAAACUCAGGCCGAUCAUCGAUGAUCCUAAUUCCGAACUCAAAACGAUCAUGAAAAGUAAACUCAUGCUAUGCAACCCCAGUACCAAAACCUAAGAUCGAUGAUCAAAAGAGUAAAAUAAACAAACUCAGGCUAUGAAAUCGCAGUCCGCAACGGCGCAACACUAAGAGCGAUGAUUAUAAUCAUGAAAAAGAGUAGUGUAAGCAUGGAAACUCAGGUUUACCUGCGUGGAAUCCAUUGUUAGCGAGCUGAUGAAUCGAUCUGAGAGAGACGAAGAAGAUGAUGAUUGAUGGAUUGAGCUGAGAGAGAGUGAGAUGGAGAGAGCGAUUGAAACGAAAGAGCGAUCAAAUGAGAGAAGAAGCUUCUACAACGAAACUGAUAACG